rnacentral:misc_RNA from 1 species
GCAUGGCAAGCGUUGAUCGCAUUCUAACGUGUCCGGUGUUUUAUGAGUGGGUUUUCCCCUCAUGAUCUGUUGGCUCGUUGGUCGUGAUUGAUCUUCCAAUGGGAUGACGCAUGAGUGGUGAUUAGGAUGUGCUUUCAUGUAGGCUCCAUGUAUUUUACGUCGAACUGCGUAGUGCUGUCCAUUUCAGUAAUCCAUUGCUUUGGCUUGUCUUUGCUUGUUGCAAAAUGGUCGGGUGGUUUCUGUGUUAUCUAUCGAUUUUUGUAUGCGUAAUGGAUUGAAUCCAUCGUGUUUUGUUCUCUUCGCCGCUGGCUUGUCCAGUGAAGGUGGAUGUUGCGUUGGUCUCCUGUGUUUCAUGCAAGUUGUCCCUCUGUGGGUGUGGAUUUGUAAUGGCUCAUGGGUGGCCGUCUUUGCUCUUGGGUAUGCGAAAUAUUUGGUUGUUGUUUGGGUCCUUUGACCUAUACAUAUCGCAUGUUGAGCAUGUAGCUUUAUUUUGUCUGACCCUCGUGCUUAUUCCUAUGCUCAUCGAGCCUUAGUGCUCGUUGUUUGUCACGGGGAUGUUCGAGGUCUAUGAGGAAUGC